GAUGAACGCUGGCGGCGUGCCUAAUACAUGCAAGUCGAGCGAACGGACGAGAAGCUUGCUUCUCUGAUGUUAGCGGCGGACGGGUGAGUAACACGUGGAUAACCUACCUAUAAGACUGGGAUAACUUCGGGAAACCGGAGCUAAUACCGGAUAAUAUUUUGAACCGCAUGGUUCAAAAGUGAAAGACGGUCUUGCUGUCACUUAUAGAUGGAUCCUCGCUGCAUUAGCUAGUUGGUAAGGUAACGGCUUACCAAGGCAACGAUGCAUAGCCGACCUGAGAGGGUGAUCGGCCACACUGGAACUGAGACACGGUCCAGACUCCUACGGGAGGCAGCAGUAGGGAAUCUUCCGCAAUGGGCGAAAGCCUGACGGAGCAACGCCGCGUGAGUGAUGAAGGUCUUCGGAUCGUAAAACUCUGUUAUUAGGGAAGAACAUAUGUGUAAGUAACUGUGCACAUCUUGACGUUACCUAAUCAGAAAGCCACGGCUAACUACGUG
rnacentral:rRNA from 1 species